rnacentral:rRNA from 1 species
AGAAUCAACGCUGGCGGCGUGCCUCAGACAUGCAAGUCGAACGAUUAAAGCUCCCUUCGGGGAGUGCAUAAAGUGGCGCACGGGUGAGUAACACGUAAGUAAUCUACCCUCGGGUGGGGAAUAACGUUCGGAAACGGACGCUAAUACCGCAUAAUGCAGCGGCACCGCAAGGUGACAGUUGUUAAAGAUUUAUUGCCUGGGGAGGAGCUUGCGGCAGAUUAGCUUGUUGGUAAGGUAACGGCUUACCAAGGCUACGAUCUGUAUCCGGUCUAAGAGGACGGUCGGACACACUGACACUGAAUAACGGGUCAGACUCCUACGGGAGGCAGCAGUCGGGAAUUUGGGCAAUGGGGGAAACCCUGACCCAGCAACGCCGCGUGAAGGAUGAAGUAUUCGGUAUGUAAACUUCGAAAGAAUAGGAAGAAUUAAUGACGGUACUAUUUAUAAGGUCCGGCUAACUACGUGCCAGCAGCCGC